rnacentral:scRNA from 1 species
AUAUGGGGAACUAAGUGGAACGCCUGUGAGUC